UACGAAGGGGGCUAGCGUUGCUCGGAAUCACUGGGCGUAAAGCGCACGUAGGCGGGUCUUUAAGUCGGGGGUGAAAUCCUGGAGCUCAACUCCAGAACUGCCUUCGAUACUGAGGAUCUCGAGUCCGGGAGAGGUGAGUGGAACUCCGAGUGUGGAGGUGAAAUUCGUAGAUAUUCGCAAGAACACCAGUGGCGAAGGCGGCUCACUGGCCCGAUACUGACGCUGAGGCACGAAAGCGUGGGGAGCAAACAGG
rnacentral:rRNA from 1 species